UUUAGCACUUUUUCUGAAAAGAGACAAUUGGCAUCUUAUGCCACACACGCAAUGUUUGGCCAUUCCGAUUGAUUUCAUAAUCUGCACGUUAUUAGUGGAUAAAUAAACAACCGUUUCAGAACUCCAUGAUGUGCAGUAAUUUUUUAACAAAAAUAGGAUUACAAUGAUACAAAUAUCAGGAGGAACGUCAAUGAAUAUUUAAUAUCUUCUAGUCGAAAAAUCGGUUUAUCUAUCAAAAUUACGUAUGCUCUUUAGCAUGCUAAAAAUUUGAGAACCUAUAUAGAGAUUAAACAUCAUCGGUAAGCCCUCACUUCGUAGAAUCGCCCAGAACAUAAUACUGUAUAUUCUAAUCAUUAAGAUUAAGUAUUAUAAUAUCCAAUAGUGCCUACCAUAUUGAAUACUACGG